AGCUCCAAUAGCGUAUAUUAAAGUUGCUGCAGUUAAAAAGCUCGUAGUUGGAUCUCGGGGUACCUGGUCUAGCCGGUAUAGCUCACGCUAAAACUGGUCUGACCCCCCAACGUGAGGUAUUCGUCUCCGGGUGCACUUCAUUGGGUGCUCGUGAGGGGCCUCGUAGUUACUGUGAAAAAAUUAGAGUGUUCAAAGCAGGCUCAUAUGUUCGGAUAGUCGUGCAUGGAAUAACUGAAUAGGUUACUGGGCCUUUUAAGUUGGUUUGGGGGCUGGGUAAAUGAUUAAGAGGGGCAGGCGGGGGCAUUGGUAUGGCGGGGUUAGAGGUGAAAUUCUUGGAUCCUCGCCAGACCAACAAAAGCGAAAGCAUUUGCCAAGAAUGUCUUCA
rnacentral:rRNA from 1 species